AUUUAUUCAAUAAUAGAUGAUUUGUGUGAAAAUUGUAUUCUCUUCUGUGAAUAUUUACGCCUUCAGCAAUCUUCGAUGGUGCUGCAGGGAGUCUAAUGAUUGUCUUAAUUGACGAUAAUUAGUCAAGUCAAAAUGACCUUCAACCGAGAACUGAAGAAUUGAUCCGCGGGGGAACACAAAUAAAAGCCUGCAUAAUGUAGUACUUUUAAAGAAAUGCAUAUAUAAAAUUAAGAAUGGAAAUUACACAAUGGUUAACAUCUAUAGGACAUGAGUAGAGCACAUCUAAUAUAAUCAGACAAAAGUGUUUUUCUUUGAGAAAUUAAGGAAAAUGUCACGCUUGACGGCCACAGAUCGUUUAAUAUUUGUCAGGUGUAGAGAUUUUUGACGUCAGAAUGAAUGCAAUCGAUUGGCCAUUAGCCUACACACAUGUUGAUUUUUACUCUUUCUAAAGAUUUGUUUUUCAUUAGUGAAAUGAGAUUGUACAAUUGUAAUAUCCCAUGUCGUUUUAUUGUCAGUGUGUGAUUGUAAAGAGUAUUUGUAAGAUUAUUAAUAUUCCUGCCUCAUUACAUGGUGUUUUAUUAAGAAUGAACAGUUAAUCCUUUUUGUCUGGCAUGCAGUAAGGGAUACUUUACACCAGAGGGCAUGUAGUCCACAAAUCUGCCACCUGCAUGGCAUUGGCAUUCCAAUGGGGUCAGGCGCAACAGGCAGUGCCCGGCCACUUUUUUAGCCGUCUUGGUUUAGGAUUCAGGCGUGAAAACUAUAUACGCAAUGUAUGCAAUGCAUAGGGGCGCCACACAAAGAGGGGCGCCAACAUGACCCCCACCCCCCUGAAAGGCGAAUAUAUGUUCAAGGGGACCAUCCCCAGACUCAUGGACUGUUACAGGAAGGUGCUUAGAACAGUAAAAUGUAUAGAAAGAACAGACCGCCAUAUAUUCGCAAAAAUAGUUAUAAAAUACACACAGCCACACUUUUGCAGGUAUAAAUAUCACUGUUAGACCGAAUGUUGCUAUAUCAAUAAACAUAAGUUUAAAUAUAAUGUGCAUUAAAUUAUUCUCUCCUGUCUUCAUAUUUUAGAGACUCACAAUAAUUCUAAAAUCCUCUUUGAAACAUCAAUAGCAAAGGUUUAAUGUUGUUUAUAAACGUAAAACUUCCCCAAGAAAACUAUUCAAUAAAUUGAAUGGGAGUAAUUAAAUUAAAUAAAACAAAGUUUUGAACCAGUUCUACAAAUCAGACUUAAAAAUGAUACUAUAUACACAUGAUAAGCAAGUGAUCCACCGUUAACAAACGAUUAUUAAAAUACAUUUUAAAUCCGAGAUUGAUCAUCGCCUCGUCCGCCGUGUUUUUUUCCUCUCCAGUCCGCUGUGAUUGGUCGAGAGGAUCAGUAGUGGUGACUGUUGGGUAAUAGUCCGCUGUGGAGCCCACACUGAUGCGGACAUAGCCGAAGGGUGCAUUGAGGGUGCAAAGGGGGCGCUCGAGAGCACUCCUCGGAACGCUGAAAUGUCAAAUGGGACACCCUACGGUCUCAUGGACUUGGCGGCAAUGUCAAAUGAAGGCCUCGAGACUGCAUCAGUCCACAUCAAGUGUGCCAUUCAGGACAGGGCCAAUAUCGCAUACACCCCCGUAAAUGGGUAGUUGCACCCCUAUUCAGAUUAUUACAAAUAUACACAUAUAUAUUUGUGUCAUUUGCAGUGUGUCACGAAGUGGGCAGUCGCUGCUAGACUCGUUUGGUGGGCUUUGUUGGCUGAUUGGUGAAUCGUUUCUCUUCAGGAUUAUGGAUACUGUAGAUCUUCAGAAAUUCCUCUAUGAAACACGCUUUUAAAAACACUAAGUUGAAAUAACACAAAAUGGCUUCAACAGAAGCAUAUACCAUCGAAUAACAACCUCAGAGCUCACAGUAGGUCUGUUUUUAAAGGUUUAUGGAGAAAGUUAAUGGGAUUUUUACAUCCAUAACCAGACUGUUGCACUCUGUCGGUCCCCGUUAGCCCCUGCAGGUAAAUGCUGGAACUACUAACUGUUAUGGCAAAAAGCAUGUUUCUCCAUUAACAGCAAUUCAAAAGUAGACAUGAUUUCUGACUAAAUUUAUUUUUCCAAGAAACAUUUCAAUCAUUACAUUGAAAUUGUAUUACAUUACAUCGUUUCCUAGUGACAGAUUGUUUUUGAAGGUCUAUUAACACUGUGAAAUGGACAAAAGGUGCUUAGUGCACAUCCAUGAGUGCCAUCAUAUUGAGAUCACUUGACCAGCCAAAUAUUUCUUGUUGUAUCUCGAUAAUCCCUUGUAAUUGGACACUUUCACUUGAGGAAUAGUUUAAUCAAUGCUGAAAGCAAAUAUUACUUGUUUACAAUGAGUUAUCAAUAACUGAGAACACAUUUUACAAGUGACGAGUUAUACAAAUUCACAAGUUUUAAAGAAAUGUAUAUGAAAAAUGUGUGCUUACAAAGGCUACAGAAUAUUUUCUUGUAUGAAUGUAACAGGGCCCAACCUGUUUAUUUUUCUGGCAGUCACAAGCCACCCCCUGCUGAUGUACACUGAAAAAAUGGUGUAUGUGGUACAUGCUGCUGCCAGGGUGUGCAUCUGGCUGAACACUGCCAUUGAAGCUGAGGGUCACUUUAAAACAGGAGAUGUGUGAUCCAUCAGAAGCUCGUCUCUUGUGGAAGGUCUGCUGUUUCUAUAACACACACACACAGGAAAGCAGAAAUCAUCAUUGACUGCAGUACCCAAUGUGAUGCCCAAUAAGAAUGGACAAGAAAUCAGUCUUUGCAAUGAAAGUGGCUACUCUUAGUAAAUGGAGGUUUACUGGAGGAUAACCAGAAUGACAUUUUAUUGUACACUAUCUAUUUUGUGUACUUAUCUGCCUAGUAUUAAAUGUACAUGUUUGAGAACAUUUCACUUUUUUGUAUGAUCCCUCAGUGCUAUUGCCAAUCCAAAUAAAUUAUUCUGUUAAAAAAAAAAAAA